AUUGAACGCUAGCGGGAUGCUUUACACAUGCAAGUCGAACGGAGUGGCGGACGGGUGAGUAAUCUAUCGGAACGUGCCCAGUAGCGGGGGAUGACUAAUCGAAAGAGUGGCUACUAACGCAAACUCUUGGAGCGGCCGAUAGCGGAUUAGCUAGCUGGUGGGGUAAAGGCGCACCAAGGCAACGAUCCGUAGCUGGUUUGAGAGGACGACCAGCCACACUGGGACUGAGACACGGCCCAGACUCCUACGGGAGGCAGCAGUGGGGAAUUUUGGACAAUGGGGGAAACCCUGAUCCAGCCAUCCCGCGUGUGUGAUGAAGGCCUUCGGGUUGUAAAGUACUUUUGGCAGAGAAGCGGUAUCUGCAGAAUAAGCACCGGCUAACUACGUGCCAGCAGCCGCGGUAAUUC
rnacentral:rRNA from 1 species